UGAGUUAUGUAUAAAUCUGUAAGAAGAAUGACGGGAUUUAAUGACAGCUAGGCCAGGUUAAAUAGGUACAGUACAUUUUAAGCCUUGAUUAAAAAAAAAAACCCUCUGGAAUUUAAGACCCAACUCAGUAGAUAUAGAUUUAGAUAAAGACACGGCCAUAUUUAAUACUAAAUGCUGCUUAUUUCUGUGCCGUAGUGCGCCGAAACCGGACGGAGAGACGGGAGGAAACCUAAGCAGAGCACUUUGCUGGUAGUCGGCUCGUUCGUCAAGCUAACGAGGAGGACGAGCCACGAGUCUGAAGGUGAAAUGAGGGGAAGGAGAAAGGCGUGGCGCUUGAACUCGCAUAAAAAUAACUCUCGGAUAAAACAGAGUGUAGUGAUACGCAGCACGGCAUCAUUCUAUACGCCGGUUCGGUUCACUUUAUUAAUCAUCCGCAGGCUUUCGGUACAUUUCAGAUAAAUCCAGUCGCUGUCAUACACCUAUAGACGAUUCGAUUUCGGAUUCCGUGGAUAAAAAUAUCAUCAGAUCUAUAUCUGUAUGAAGGCACCAAGGUUUUUUUUUUUUUUUUCUUCUUAUACGACAGUGAAUAUUUUUAAUUAGUUUAAUUUAUUAAAGACUUACACAUCAUAUAUACGUUUUUUUUUUUUUUUUUAAUCCUUGUCUAGUUACAGUUAACAUUAUGGGGUCCUGUCAUCGUAGCGGUUGUAAACGGUCGCUCCCUCGCUUGCUGUUUAGGUUAAUGAUAAUUGUUACAAAGCGCUGACACUGGAGACUCCUUCCAUAUCUGUUCCAGGAACACAUUUCUCCUCAGCGUAUCGACGUGUACACAUGUGGAGCGUACUCUACGCCGUACAAGUACCGAUGGACGAGCUGUUACUAUAGAAACCAAAACGUAUCAAUGUGAUACAAAUACAUAGGACUAUAUUCAAAAUAUUUUUGCUUUAUACAGUAUCGAAGCGAUUUUUUUAGAGUGUUGCAGUGACGGAAGCAAACGGCUAACGCCGCACAAACACACCAAGCUAACAAACGCUAACUCAGCUUCCUGAGCAGAGAGAGCUCUGCAUCACAGCCUCUCUCUCUCUCUCUCUCUCUCUCUCUCUCUCUCUCUCUCUCUCUCUGUACAUGGAUAUCUAUAUUUUUAACCUUAAAGCCGGGCCACUCUGUCUUCACCUCGCACGGUUAUAUUUAUCCCUCACGCCUCCGUCUCCGGUUUCCUUCGCCUAAGAGCAGGUGGAAGAUGGAGGAAGGGGUGAGGUGAGAGCAGAGCUCACUUCCUGUUGGGUCACACUGUCCCGGGACGCAGAGAGGAGAGGAGAGGAGAGGAGAGGAGAGGAGAAGAGAGGAGAGGAGAAGAGAGGAGAGAAGAAGAGUGGAGAGGAGAAGAGCAGAAAGGAGAAGAGAAGAGAGGAGAGAAGAAGAGAGGAGUGGAGAAGAGAGGAGAGGAGAAGAGAAGAGAGGAGAGAAGAAGAGAGGAGCGGAGAAGAGAGGAGAGGAGAAGAGCAGAAAGGAGAAGAGAAGAGAGGAGAGGAGAAGAGAAGAGAAGAGAGGAGAGGAGGAGAGGAGAGGAGAGGAGAAGAGAGGAGAAGAGAGGAGAGGAGAAGAGAGGAGAAGAGAGGAGAGGAGAAGAGAGGAGAGGAGGAGAGAGGAGAAGAGAGGAGAAGAGAGGAGAAGAGAAGAGACGAGAGGAGGAGAGAGGAGAGGAGGAGAGAGGAGAGGAGGAGAGAGGAGAAGAGAGGAGAGGAGAGAAGAAGAGAGGAGAGGAGAGGAGGAGGGGAGAGGAG
ensembl:lncRNA